ACCCCUUUUUGUCUUUUGGCUAAGAUAAAGUGUAGUAUCUGUUAUCAGUUUAAUAUCUGUCUGAUAUGUCCUCUAUCUGAGGACAGUACUAUCAAAUGGAUUUUUAGAGCAGGGAGUUGGAAUAGGAGCUUGCUCCAUUCACUCCACUCAUCAACCUGGUAUUACAGUACCAAAAAAUGGUUUUAUCAACCUUAA